rnacentral:rRNA from 1 species
UACGUAGGGUGCAAGCGUUAAUCGGAAUUACUGGGCGUAAAGCGUGCGCAGGCGGUUGUGCAAGACCGAUGUGAAAUCCCCGGGCUUAACCUGGGAAUGGCAUUGGUGACUGCAUGGCUAGAGUGUGUCAGAGGGGGGUAGAAUUCCACGUGUAGCAGUGAAAUGCGUAGAGAUGUGGAGGAAUACCGAUGGCGAAGGCAGCCCCCUGGGAUAACACUGAUGCUCAUGCACGAAAGCGUGGGGAGCAAACAGG